rnacentral:lncRNA from 1 species
AAAAAAUAAGAGAAUGGUAGCUCUUAAAUAAAGUAACAGUACAUAUAAGGGAAUACAAAAUCUGCAAUAGAAGAGUUAUAAUUUUCUUCAAGAAUCAAGGGUAUCUCCGAGAUAGUAGCAUUAAUGUAUUCUUGUGCUUGACUACCUGCGCAUGCUUUCAAGAGUGAAUUUAGUAUUCCAAGAAUUAUUUUGAAACAUAUAAUCAUUUCUAGCCAACCAAAUAUUAUAAGCAAUAUACACUGUCAAUGUAGCCUUUCUACCAUGGUGACCUAUAAAUUAUCUAUCAUAGAUGGUUUGGAGGAAGGUGUCAAGAG